rnacentral:rRNA from 1 species
AGUGAACGCUGGCGGUAGGCCUAACACAUGCAAGUCGAACGGCCGCACAGUAAGAGCUUUCCCUUACGGGUGGCGAGUGGCGGACGGGUGAGGAAUACAUCGGAAUCUACUUUGUCGUGGGGGAUAACGUAGGGAAACUUACGCUAAUACCGCAUACGACCUACGGGUGAAAGCAGGGGAUCUUCGGACCUUGCGCGAUAGAAUGAGCCGAUGUCGGAUUAGCUAGUUGGCGGGGUAAAGGCCCACCAAGGCGACGAUACGUAGCUGGUCUGAGAGGAUGAUCAGCCACACUGGAACUGAGACACGGUCCAGACUCCUACGGGAGGCAGCAGUGGGGAAUAUUGGACAAUGGGCGCAAGCCUGAUCCAGCCAUACCGCGUGGGUGAAGAAGGCCUUCGGGUUGUAAAGCCCUUUUGUUGGGAAAGAAAAGAAGCAGGUUAAUCCCCCGAUGUUCUGACGGUACCCAAAGAAUAAGCAACGGCUAACUACGUG